GGUUAGCACUCUGGACUCUGAAU
rnacentral:piRNA from 3 species